AUGCAUGUUGAUACUAUAAUGGAAUCUCGUGAUGCAACAUUUUUUGAGAACAUAUUUCCUAUGAAAGAUAUGCAUAGCAUUGCUAGAUUUUCUUCUGAGAUAAUUCCUGAAUCUAGUACAACUGAUGAAUAUUUCGAACAAUCACAUGAGGAAGUCUUUGAGAAGGAUAACAAUGAAGUUCCUAGAAGGAACAAGAGACAAAGGAUUGCAAAAUCCUUUGGUGAUGAUUUCAUUGUAUACCUUGUGGACGACACACCCAAGACGAUUGCAGAAGCAUAUGCAUCUCCGGAUGUAGAUGAUUGGAAAGAAGCUGUUCAUAAUGAGAUGGACUCAAUUCUUUCUAAUGGAACUUGGGAACUAACUGAUAGACCAUAUGGUUGUAAACCUGUGGGCUGUAAGUGGGUGUUCAAAAAGAAGCUAAAGCCUGAUGGUACUAUUGAUAAAUACAAGGCGCGGCUAGUGGCCAAGGGCUACACUCAGAAAGAAGGCGAAGAUUACUUUGACACCUAUUCACCCGUUGCUAGAAUGACCACCAUUCGAGUGUUACUUUCCUUGGCUGCCUCUUAUGGUCUUAUCAUUCAUCAAAUGGAUGUAAAGACAGCUUUUCUCAAUGGAGAGUUGGAAGAGGAGAUCUAUAUGGAUAAGCCUGAUGGGUUUGUGGUAAAGGGUGAAGAGAGAAAGGUGUGCAAGUUGUUAAAAUCUUUGUAUGGUCUGAAACAGGCACCUAAGCAAUGGCAUGAGAAGUUUGAAAGAACUUUGACUUCUAUAGGAUUUGUCAUUAACGAGGCUGAUAGGUGUGUUUACUAUCGCCAUGGUGGGGGCAAUAGUGUCAUAUUAUGUUUGUAUGUGGACGCCAUACUAAUCUUUGGUACAAACAUUAAUGCAAUUAAUGAGGUCAAGUCUUUUCUAUCAAAAAGUUUUGACAUGAAAGAUCUGGGAGAAGCCGAUGCAAUUCUAAACAUCAAACUUAUUAAGGAUGAGAGCGGGAUUACAUUAACGCAAUCUCACUAUGUUGAGAAGGUCUUGAACCGAUUCGGUUUUAUGGAUAGCAAGCCUUCUCCAACACCUUAUGAUCCCAGCGUGACACUCAGAAAGAACAAGAAAGAAACGAGAGAUCAAUUAAGAUACUCUCAAAUUGUCGGUUCACUCAUGUACUUAGCUAGCGCUACAAGACCAGAUAUCUCUUUUGCUGUGAGCAAACUGAGUAGGUUCAUGUCCAACCCGGGUGAUGAUCAUUGGCAUGCACUAGAAAGAGUCUUGCGCUAUCUGAGAGGUACUAUGAGUUACGGAAUUACUUAUUCAGGGCAUCCUGCUGUGCUAGAAGGAUAUAGUGAUUCAAAUUGGAUCUUCGAUGUUGAUAUACUUUACGCAACAAGUGGGUAUGUAUUUACUCAUGGUGGUGGCGCAGUGUCAUGGAGGUCUUGCAAGCAAACCAUAUUAACGAGGUCAACUAUGGAAGCAGAAUUAACUGCUUUGGACACAGCUACUGUUGAGGCAGAAUGGCUGCGUGAGCCCUUGAUGGACUUGCCGGUUGUUGAAAAACCUGUACCGGCUAUUCUUAUGAAUUGUGAUAACCAAACGGUUAUCGCUAAAGUGAACAAUUCUAAAGAUAAUGCAAAGUCAUCAAGACACGUGAAAAGACGUUUGAAGUCUGUCAGGAAGUUGAGAAACUCCGGAGUAAUAACUGUUACGUAUAUACAAACAGACAAAAACCUGGCAGAUCCCUUUACAAAGGGACUAUCACGAAAUGUGAUAGAUAUUGCAUCGAGGGAGAUGGGUAUGAGACCCAUA
rnacentral:rRNA from 1 species